GGGGAGGCAGGCCCAGCCGGGACGAGGCCCUGCCUCCAGCCAACGCUCCGCCCAGAACGAAGCCCCGCCCCGGAACGAAGCCCCGCCUCCAGCAACUCUCUGCCCGGAGAGAGGCCCGACAGCUGCGACCCGACUGGUUCUGUCCGAGCCCGACGGGCCGCGCUGACCCAGCGACUGUGCCUGACUGACCACAGGGAGGAGACUGUGCACAAUCAUGGAGGGCAGUGGCAAGUCUGGUGGAGAGGGAAGGAGGUCAGGAAAUAAACGAGAGAGGAAAAUUAAGAGGUCAGUGGAUUCAAAACGAUGAAAGUGGAUUCAAAACCUCUGUCAAGGGGUGCUGUCCUUUCCUGGCCAAGUCUCUUUUAUUCUCUUAGGGCUGCAACCUCUUCACCUGGGAAAUGAAUGGUCCUGUGAUUUACAAGAGCAGGGUCCAGGCUGAAGGUGCAGGCCCUAUCCAAGACACAACAUUUCCAGUGGCAGAGAUAAAAAAGUAAGAUUUCAGACUCAAA
rnacentral:lncRNA from 1 species